CGCGAGAGUGAUGAGUUGCACAUUAGUGUGGCCGCAGCAUCAGGUGAUGUGGGCUACACUCAGUAUUAAUCUGAUGAGAAACCAAGUGCACAGGGGCCAUCUGACUCGCG